rnacentral:rRNA from 1 species
AGAGCGAACGCUGGCGGCAGGCCUAACACAUGCAAGUCGAACGGACUCUUCGGGGUUAGUGGCGGACGGGUGAGUAACACGUGGGAACGUGCCUUUAGGUUCGGAAUAGCUCCUGGAAACGGGUGGUAAUGCCGAAUGUGCCCUUCGGGGGAAAGAUUUAUCGCCUUUAGAGCGGCCCGCGUCUGAUUAGCUAGUUGGUGAGGUAAAGGCUCACCAAGGCUACGAUCAGUAGCUGGUCUGAGAGGAUGACCAGCCACAUUGGGACUGAGACACGGCCCAAACUCCUACGGGAGGCAGCAGUGGGGAAUCUUGCGCAAUGGGCGAAAGCCUGACGCAGCCAUGCCGCGUGAAUGAUGAAGGUCUUAGGAUUGUAAAAUUCUUUCAGUAGGGACGAUAAUGACGGUACCUACAGAAGAAGCCCGGACUAACUUCGUCGCCAGCAGCCGAC